UAGGGAAUCUUCCACAAUGGACGAAAGUCUGAUGGAGCAACGCCGCGUGAGUGAAGAAGGGUUUCGGCUCGUAAAACUCUGUUGUUAAAGAAGAACAUAUCUGAGAGUAACUGUUCAGGUAUUGACGGUAUUUAACCAGAAAGCCACGGCUAACUACGUGCCU
rnacentral:rRNA from 1 species